rnacentral:rRNA from 3 species
UGCGACCCCAGGUCAGGCGGGGC